GACAGAGGCCUCGAGCGUUAGGCGGAAUCACUGGGCGUAAAGCGCGCGUAGGCGGCCCGGUAAGUCCGUUGUGAAAGUCAAAGGCUCAACCUUUGAACGCCGAUGGAUACUGCCGGGCUAGAGUCCGGAAGAGGCGAGUGGAAUUCCUGGUGUAGCGGUGGAAUGCGCAGAUAUCAGGAGGAACACCAAUAGCGAAGGCAGCUCGCUGGGACGGUACUGACGCUGAGGCGCGAAAGCGUGGGGAGCGAACAGG
rnacentral:rRNA from 1 species